UAAUGUUAAUAAUGCAGUUUAUUUACGUAAACAGCAUGCUUACUUUUUUAUUUCAGAUAAAUAAUAACCUGUUGCAAAGCGAGACAAUGCAAAUAAGCAGCCCAAUCAGGAAUCUGGAACACAGUUAAGACCAAGCGAGGCACACACUCCCAUCUCUUCAAGGUCUCUUCAAAAAAUAGCAUUCCUGUAUGUGAUGCAGUGCAAUCUAAGGGCCCGAAGAUCACGGGCAUCCAGUAUGGUUUUCCGGCCUUGACCCUUACGCACAGAGAUUGUUCCAGAUUCUCUGAAUCUUCGGAUGAUAUUAUGCACUGUAGAUGAUGAUAACUUCAAACUCUUUGCAAUUUUUUUUUUUUUGAGAAACUCCUUUCUGAUAUUGCUCCGCUAUUUUUCGCCGCAGCAUUGGGGGAAUUGGUGAUUGUCUGCCCAUCUUGACUUCUGAGAGACACUGCCACUCUGAGAGGCUCUUUUUAUACCAAAUCAUGUUGCCAAUUGACCUAAUAAGUUGCAAAUUGGUCCUCCAGCUGUUCCUUAUAUGUACAUUUAACUUUUCCGGCUUCUUAUUGCUACCUGUUCCAACUUUUUUGGAAUGUGUAACUCUCAUGAGAUCCAAAAUGAGCCAAUAUUUGGCAUGACAUGACAUUUGGCAUGUGUCUCACUUUCAACAUUUGAUAUGUUAUCUAUAUUCUAUUGUGAAUAAAAUAUAAGUUUAUGAGAUUUGUAAAUUAUUCCAUUCCUUUAUAAGUCACAAUUUGUACAGUGUCCCAACUUUUUUGGAAUCGGGUUUGUACCACAGGUGGAGUCCAAUCAAGUUGCAGAAACAUCUCAAGGAUGAUCAAUGGAAACAGGAUGCACCUGAGCUCAAUUCUGAGUGUCAUGGCAAAGGAUGUGAAUACUUACAGCAAUACAUGCAAAACCUUCGUCUGGACAUCAUCACCAUAGACCACCUUUAAAGCUACUGCCUACAGCACAUUCUUCAAUGCCUUCAUCUACUGCACCUACUUCAUUACCUCAUGACUUUUAUCGUUGUGGAUCUAAGGAACACCUCGUUAAUGAUUGCAGUUGUCCUGCUGCAUUGGCACAGUGUAAUUACUGUCAAAAGAUAGGACAUUACUUGCAGGUGUGUUGUUCGGGACAAACUCGGUCAUUGCGUGAAAAUGACUUACCUGUGGUUCAGA
ensembl:lncRNA